UACGAAGGGGCUAGCGUUGUUCGGAAUCACUGGGCGUAAAGGGCGCGUAGGCGGCUUUAUAAGUCGGGGUGAAGCCUGUGGCUCAACCACAGAAUUGCCUUCGAUACUGUAGAGCUUGAGACCGGAAGAGGUAAGUGGAACUGCGAGUGUAGAGGUGAAAUUCGUAGAUAUUCGCAAGAACACCAGUGGCGAAGGCGGCUUGACUGGUCCGGUUCUGACGCUGAGGCGCGAAAGCGUGGGAGCAACAGG
rnacentral:rRNA from 1 species